rnacentral:rRNA from 1 species
UACGGAGGGGGCUAGCGUUGUUCGGAAUUACUGGGCGUAAAGCGCGCGUAGGCGGACCUGCAAGUCGGGGGUGAAAGCCCGAGGCUCAACCUCGGAACUGCCUCCGAUACUGCGGGUCUCGAGUCCGGGAGAGGUGAGUGGAAUUCCUAGUGUAGAGGUGAAAUUCGUAGAUAUUCGCAAGAACACCAGUGGCGAAGGCGGCUCACUGGCUCGAUACUGACGCUGAGGUGCGAAAGCGUGGGGAGCAAACAGG